UGGCAUCUCACAAUGAGAAGAGCUUUCAGCGUGUCGCGAGUUUCCAAAGUUGGUUCAGGAGAUACACUGGAUUAGGUGGGAUGCCAAAUCACUCCUGGCGACUGGCCAGAUGUGCUUUCUAAGACUUCUGGAUACU
rnacentral:lncRNA from 1 species